rnacentral:lncRNA from 1 species
AAAGAGAAGAUGUACAUUUAUAUUCCUCGGAGCUUUGGCAACCACUCUGGUGGUAACAUUGAGAUGUUAUCCAUUCUUCCAUCUUUAUAUGACAUUAAUUUCAGCGUUCAGUUUUUGUAAUGAUAACAAAACAUUCAUAGAUGAAUCAUAGAUAUUACUUUCUUACUUCCUUCCAUCUUUGUGGAUUAUGGACACAAACUAAGAACAACUCCAGGAUAGAUAAAUCAAACGUCUUUAUUUUUUAGUAUUUAUCACAGUAAAAUUUAUAUCUACAUGUAUCAUUUGGGGUUGAUUAAUGAAUUUGUUUGUAUUGCAGUCUGAAUUUGGAUAUAGUGGAGAUGACGGAGGUGCCAAGGAGACGUGAAUCAUCAUGUUUGGCCGGCUGAGCUGUAAUUUGAACAACUUUGUAUCAUUCCUUCUAAUUCUUCUAUGAAAGUUUGUCCUUAGAUUUUCAGACUUUCUCAUUCAUCCUGUGGAUAACGUUUCUUGGUAGAAUUAACCCACGAUCCGGGGAGUACCAUUUUGCUGCAAAGCUCCCCUUAAAGAGAUUUAACACUGCUGCAUGCUUAUGGCCGGGUUCAAACGAGGACUUCUGGUUAAGCUGGAAGAGUCCCUUACCAUAUCAACUAUGGAUAAUUUUUUUUACAUACAUGUAUCUGAGGAACUUGAGGAACCUAAGUUAUAGUCUGACUUAGCAUACAAGAUUAUUUGUAUCACUUUUUUUUGGAUAUGUUUCAUGAUUUUGAUAAUUGAGAGAGACACAUUUAAUUUGUUUUGCAGCAUGUUUCAUAUUGAGUACAAGAUCUUGUAGACGGAAUGGAAGUUUUGCAGACUGUGUUCUUAUGCUUUAAUUUGGUCAGCUGUCUACUAAUGACUUCAUAUUUCAUUCUUUUUUGUUGAUACUCAGCAAAAAAUUGUGAUGUUAAAACUUAUCUAUAUUAGGUUGAAGCUUAAAUUGUGAUGUUUCAUAUUGAGUACAGGAUCUUAUAGACUCGAUGGUAGUUUUGCAGGCUGUGUUCUUAUGCUUUAAUUUGGUCAGCUCUCUACUUAAAAUGACUUCAUAUUUCAGUAUUUUUUGUUGAUACUCAGCAAAUUUGAACAAUUAUGUAUCAUUCCUUCUAAUUCUUCUAUGAAAGUUUGUCCUUAGAUUUUCAGACUUUCUCACUCAUCCCGGGGAUAACUUUUUUAUGUAAAACUAACCCACGAGUCAAGGAGGACCAUUAUGCUGCAAAACUCUCCUUCAAGAGAUUAAACACUGCUGCAUGUCUAGGGCUAGGAGAUUUAAUGCUGCUGCAUGCUUAGGUCCGGGUUUAAACGAGGACUUCUGGUUAUGCUGGUAGAGUCCCUUACCAUAUCAACCAGAGAUAAUCUUUUUUACACACAUGUAUCUGAGGAACUUGAGGAACCUUAGCAUACAAGAUUAUUUAUGAAACUAAAAAUCAAUUCAACCAUAUGGGUAUCCCUCAAAGAGUCUGCAACUGGAGCAAGAACUUGACUUAAAGUGGAGCCUAGUUGAGCAGAAGACGUUGCAAUUGGUUUUUGUCGUUGUGAUUGUACUUUCAUCCGGUGAUCUCUAGAGCCUAGUUGAGCAGAAGACGUUGCAAUUGGUUUUUGUCGUUGUGAUUGUACUUUCAUCCGGUGAUCUCUAAUACGACUAUUGAUUCUUCAUGUUUACUUGUAUAUAUUAAGAUCUUGCUUUCUCGUUUUCUUGGUUUGUUGAUAGGGGUCACAUGGAAUAUGUACAUUGAGAACUGAUUAGGUGAUUGUCAUAGACAUUUUGCUUGAUUCAUUGGAGAAAGGCUCUGUAUUUCGUGGAAUUUUAAUAUUUGCGUUUAACAGGUCAUUUUUUCGUUAAAGGUACACUUGAUUUGAAAUAUAGUUGUCCUAUGCGAGUGUAAUGAUUGAAUGUUGAUUUUUGUGUAUUGCAGAAGCAAUGCCAAUAUUAGGGGUGCUUUAGUAUUUGUUAUGUAGUACAUGUUCAACUCUUUCUUGACUAAGGUGUGUCUGUUUUGCUAUAUUCUUUUUUUGUUGUGUUUUUGUUGUUAUAUUUAUGAUUAUGAUACUCCUAAGAAGAUAGCCUCUUUGUUACAGUUGGCUCCCGAAGGACUUCUUUAUUUUUAGAGGCGGCCAAAUUUGUGUCAUUUCAUAUGAGUACAUGCCAUUACAAAAUGGUUGGGAAAUUUGUUCCAAUGAAUCAUCAUCCGAAGACUCUUUACAUUUCAGUCUUUGUUUGAUUUGAUAGUUAGCCUCUACUUUUGUCAGAUCCUUUGAGUUUUCAUCUGUGGAUGUUACAGUGGAGAUGGCCUAUAAAUGUAGGUUAGCUUUGGAACAUGUGUUAGGCAUACUAGGUUCACAUACUUUGCAUUCUGUUUAGUGAUAAAACAUGUAAUUUCUUUCCUGCGUAUAACACAUAAUCUCCAAAUGGCUACUGUUGUAUUUCAUCUGGUGAUCUCUACUUUGGCCAUAAAGUCUUUACGUUUCUCCAUGAUUUCUUUAUUCAAAAUCUAGUUUUCUUGAUUUCUUCAUGACUUCCUUUUUCGUGUUACAGGGCGAUAUAUAUUGUGGAAGCUGUGGCCAGAUUUAUCAAGGACAUUUUGCUUUUUGUUUUACAGGUGAGAGAUGCUAUGAAUGUACCGUGGUAUUUGAAAGUUAUGGUUAACAUUAUGAAGGAGAUGCUUUAGUUUAAAACAUUGGAUUAAUUAGUCACGUUUGCUCUCUCGUGGAUGUACUUGUUUUGGGGUGUCCUAAGAUGUGAAAAGUAGCAUUUAUGAUUUUUGUGUUUAGAAUUACGUGUUUAUGUGUGUUCAGUAUUUAUGGUUCUAUAUUACAUGUCCACCUCUUGGAUAAUUGAGACGUGCGUUUGUUUUGUAGAGUGAAGUAUGAUAUGUGUGUUCAGUAUUUAUGGUUCUAUAUUACAUGUCCACCUCUUGGAUAAUUGAGACGUGCGUUUGUUUUGUAGAGUGAAGUAUGAAUGUCUAGAAUGUUUAGAGUUUUGCACAAUGAAGUUUGAAUAUCAAUGUUUGGAGAUAUUUGAUGCAAUGGAGAAGAAAGUAGAGUUCGUUUUAAUCAAAU